CGGCCAUCCGGCCAAAAAAAAGGAACAUCCGGUGGAAUUUCCAGCGGCAACGGAGCAUUCCUGGAAGUGGAAGGUAGGGAUAUAGAC